rnacentral:rRNA from 1 species
UCCCCUAGUAACUGCGAGUGAAGCGGGAAAAGCUCAAAUUUAAAAUCUGGCGGUCUUUGGCUGUCCGAGUUGUAAUUUAGAGAAGCGUCUUCCGCGCUGGACCGUGCACAAGUCUCCUGGAAUGGAGCGUCAUAGAGGGUGAGAAUCCCGUCUUUGGCACGGAUGCCUGGUGCUUCUGUGAUGCGCUCUCGAAGAGUCGAGUUGUUUGGGAAUGCAGCUCAAAAUGGGUGGUGAACUCCAUCUAAAGCUAAAUAUUGGCGAGAGACCGAUAGCGAACAAGUACCGUGAGGGAAAGAUGAAAAGCACUUUGGAAAGAGAGUGAAACAGUACGUGAAAUUGUUGAAAGGGAAACGCUUGAAGUCAGUCGCGUCGACCGAGACUCAGCCUCGCCUUGGCUUGGUGUACUUCUCGGCACGACGGGUCAGCAUCAAUUUUGCCCCUCGGAUAAUGGCAGGGGAAAGGUGGCACCUUUACGGGUGUGUUAUAGUCUUCUGUCGCAUGCGAGGGGUGGGAUUGAGGAACUCAGCGCGCACCUCAGUGUCGGGGCUUCGGCCCACGUCACGCGCUUAGGAUGCUGGCGUAAUGGCUUUAAACGACCCGUCUUGAAACACGGACCAAGGAGUCCAACACGCCCGCGAGUGUUCGGGUGGAAAACCCGUGCGCGUAAUGAAAGUGAAAGUUGGGACCUCUGUCGUGGAGGGCACCGACGCCCGGACCAGACCUUCUGUGACGGAUCUGCGGUAGAGCGUGUGUGUUGGGACCCGAAAGAUGGUGAACUAUGCCUGAAUAGGGUGAAGCCAGAGGAAACUCUGGUGGAGGCUCGUAGCGAUUCUGACGUGCAAAUCGAUCGUCAAAUUUGGGUAUAGGGGCGAAAGACUAAUC